UAGGGAAUCUUCGGCAAUGGGGGCAACCCUGACCGAGCAACGCCGCGUGAGUGAAGAAGGUUUUCGGAUCGUAAAACUCUGUUGUUAGAGAAGAACGUUAAGUAGAGUGGAAAGUUACUUAAGUGACGGUAUCUAACCAGAAAGGGACGGCUAACUACGUG
rnacentral:rRNA from 1 species